AUUGAACGCUGGCGGCAUGCCUUACACAUGCAAGUCGAACGGCAGCACGGGUGCUUGCACCUGGUGGCGAGUGGCGAACGGGUGCGUAAUACAUCGGAACAUGUCCUGUAGUGGGGAAUAGCCCGGCGAAAGCCGGAUUAAUACCGCAUACGAUCUACGGAUGAAAGCGGGGGCCCUUCGGGCCUCGCGCUAUAGGGUUGGCCGAUGGCUGAUUAGCUAGUUGGUGGGGUAAAGGCCUACCAAGGCGACGAUCAGUAGCUGGUCUGAGAGGACGACCAGCCACACUGGGACUGAGACACGGCCCAGACUCCUACGGGAGGCAGCAGUGGGGAAUUUUGGACAAAGGGCGAAAGCCUGAUCCAGCAAUGCCGCGUGUGUGAAGAAGGCCUUCGGGUUGUAAAGCACUUUUGUCCGGAAAGAAAUCCUUGGCCCUAAUACGGUCGGGGGAUGACGGUACCGGAAGAAUAAGCACCGGCUAACUACGUG
rnacentral:rRNA from 1 species